rnacentral:pre_miRNA from 1 species
CAACCACUACUGUACUACAAGACCAUCGAGGACCUGCGGGACCAGAUUCUCGGUGCUACCAUCCAGAACUCCAAGGUCGUGCUGCAGAUCGACAACGCCCGCCUGGUGGA